UUCAUUUUCUUUUUACCAUUUUUUCUAGAAAGGUGCCUGAUAUUGCUAUGAUCGUUCUUCAUUUUUUUGGUUGCUUUGGGCCUCUUCAAUGUCUCUUUCAAUAUAGCUAAACAUAACUUACCUGGUGAUAUCAUUCUCAGAUGGGGAAUCCAUUUAUGGCCUAGGUACCAUUGCUUGUCCUACU